UCUGCCAAUCUUGUGACUCUACUGUGUCACACUUGCCUCUUUCUAGGUCUCAAAAGGGCUGAUAACCAGCUGCUCCUGUCAGGUGGUAGCAUCUAUGCCUUAAAGUUAUAACAAGUUUCAACUGAUUCAUUUUUCUUUCUAAUAGCUAGUCUCUCUGGAUUUCACCUGGAUACGUCCACUCUCGGGCUGUGAUCUCCUGAAUUUCGGUCUCCUUCCAGAGUCCCACAGGGGCAAUUCACCAGAAUUAGAAGAGACAAUUCUUUGGAAAUGCCAGAGAUCACACUGAACUUCCUUUUGGCAGGCUAACAUGUUUCAGCCAGUCACUCUGAGGAAUUAGAUACUAACAGAACCCUUUUGGAAGUCAGGUCACCUGAUAUUAAAUCGUGUCCUCUUUAGUGGGUGUUUCUACUUCUUCCAUGAAGAAACAAGUGCCAACAUCAAUAUGUCCAAUAAGGAUUCUUUUGCUCAGUUCAGAAGGAAAUCAUGAAUCAGUAAAGUAUUGUUCUCAGCUCCUAGUUCCAGUGGCCUUUGGUCCUUACAGUUACACAUCUCAGCAGCUCCGAGCUGUCCUAUCAGCUCUUCAGCAGCUGAGGUUUCCAGGCCCCCUUUGGCAGCUUUUUGGAUUUCUUCCACCAGCUUCUCCUGCCUCUUUGGGAUACUCCACAGAUCCAUUCAAGUCUCCCCUGUUGUCUACCAGUUGCCACAGCCAGUUGGUGCUGGCUGGUGACAGUUACCAUCAGUAGAUGCUGCUAGUCUCUUCUCGUCUCUGUGGCUGGUUGCUGCAUCGCGAUCUUCAUCCGUUGCUGCUGGUCUCUAGCACUCUUCCAGGCUAGCAGCCCGGAGUGUUACCAACUCUUUUCAGUGCAACCUGCUCUGUGCACAUUACCUGCUAAGAAUCAUGAGUAGUUUUAAGGACCACAGGAAUGAGACUUUAUUUGGAAUUGUGUUGCCACACAAACUGGUGGACACUGGAAGGUGCCCUCCUGGACUAAUCCAGGGGCCAUGAGGGAGCACUGCUACAGAAGGGCAGCAGACCACACAUGAUCAGUUUUGUACAUUUCUCAGACCUGCUUGAGAACUUUGUAGACAUGGGGGUGGGGAGGCAAAGGAUAAACAGGAGCCAUCAGGAGUGGCUGCAGGGCGGAGUCAUCUGGGAUUGGUCUGAGUUUCAAGCCUGCUGAGGCCUCAGCAAAUACCUCCUGGAAGAGCUGCAGGGCACUUAGGAGCACUCUGGCGGUUCUGAACUUUAGGACCAGAGGCUGCUUGAUUGACAAUUGUUGCCUCUUCUUGAAGAUAGUGGGGCUGAAAUUGAGACUUUCACCAAUUUUGAGAAUUCUUUAGCAGGAUUAGCCAUGUUCAUCAUAUCCUAUUAGGGUUUAGCAAUUUUGGGGAAAUUCACAAUGAGGCUAGUCCCUGCUCCAUCUUUGCCCUGUCAGGCAUGGUUUCUCAGCUGCCUUUCAAAGAGGGAGCAGCAAUUCCUGGAGCUGGGGAGGACAGCUGUCAUUCAAGCUGUGACUCCUGUGGACCUGGCCAGAGGGUGGCCGCCACAGCAGCCACAGAGGUGGUGGCCUCCUGGAGCUAAUCACCCCAGACCACCCUGGAAUAGGCACCAGGGAAGGCAAGGGGGGAGUGUGACAAGCUGCCAGUUGGAUUAUGCCUCCACCCGGCUGACACAGGGAAAAGAGAGGUGUCGGACCUCAUUUCUUUUUCAUCUCAGAAAUAGUUCAUUUUUAAUUGCCCCUCCAUUUCUUGAUUUUUAGGAAUUAUAACCAAGACCUGACACCCAGCCCUUGAAAAAUGAUGAAAGCAAGAAGAAGAAUACAUGACAGGAGUAAAAUGUGGGUUCUAAAGUAUGAAUCACUUGGGAGUUACGUGGAUAUUAAAAUUUUAUUAGCUCA